AUGAACGCUGGCGGCGUGCCUAAUACAUGCAAGUCGAGCGAACAGACGAGGAGCUUGCUCCUCUGACGUUAGCGGCGGACGGGUGAGUAACACGUGGAUAACCUACCUAUAAGACUGGGAUAACUUCGGGAAACCGGAGCUAAUACCGGAUAAUAUAUUGAACCGCAUGGUUCAAUAGUGAAAGACGGUUUUGCUGUCACUUAUAGAUGGAUCCGCGCCGCAUUAGCUAGUUGGUAAGGUAACGGCUUACCAAGGCAACGAUGCGUAGCCGACCUGAGAGGGUGAUCGGCCACACUGGAACUGAGACACGGUCCAGACUCCUACGGGAGGCAGCAGUAGGGAAUCUUCCGCAAUGGGCGAAAGCCUGACGGAGCAACGCCGCGUGAGUGAUGAAGGUCUUCGGAUCGUAAAACUCUGUUAUUAGGGAAGAACAAAUGUGUAAGUAACUAUGCACGUCUUGACGGUACCUAAUUAGAAAGCCACGGCUAACUACGUG
rnacentral:rRNA from 1 species